rnacentral:rRNA from 1 species
GAUGAACGCUGGCGGCGUGCCUAAUACAUGCAAGUCGAGCGAACAGAUGAGGAGCUUGCUCCUCUGACGUUAGCGGCGGACGGGUGAGUAACACGUGGAUAACCUACCUAUAAGACUGGGAUAACUUCGGGAAACCGGAGCUAAUACCGGAUAAUAUAUUGAACCGCAUGGUUCAUAGUGAAAGACGGUUUUGCUGUCACUUAUAGAUGGAUCCGCGCCGCAUUAGCUAGUUGGUAAGGUAACGGCUUACCAAGGCAACGAUGCGUAGCCGACCUGAGAGGGUGAUCGGCCACACUGGAACUGAGACACGGUCCAGACUCCUACGGGAGGCAGCAGUAGGGAAUCUUCCGCAAUGGGCGAAAGCCUGACGGAGCAACGCCGCGUGAGUGGUGAAGGUCUUCGGAUCGUAAAACUCUGUUAUUAGGGAAGAACAAAUGUGUAAGUAACUAUGCACGUCUUGACGGUACCUAAUCAGAAAGCCACGGCUAACUACGUG